AUGAAUAUUUACACACAUGCACAGGAAAAAAAAAACAAGACAAGUGAAUUUUUAAGGGACAUAUAUACAUAUAUAUAUAACUGGGCAUUUACUGUACUAGGAUCAGAUAUUAAUUAUAAUAAAUACAGAACAUCUCCUGUAACAGCGAUAAAAAUGCACAAACCUACACACACACACUCACACACAAUGCUUUAAAAGAUGCAGAACUUCAUGAAUGCGAGAGAAUCAGUGACAUGAUGAACAUUUGCACGAAACGUGUGAAUAUAAUUGAUUAGAAAUAAACUGAUAUUAUGACUGCA
ensembl:lncRNA